rnacentral:other from 1 species
AUCGGACUGCCGCUCGCGUGUUUAACCGCAUGUCUUCCGGGCCAACACUACUUACUAGGGAACUGUCACUGUCAGGAUCGUGGUCCUGUUAUAUGGUGCCCACCUUAUCUUGCGGGUAUCGGAUAGAAUGAUAAAAACACGGUUCGGGCGGUCCGCCU